UGAAAUUUGAUUUAAGGCGCUGUAAUAAAAUCAGGAGCGGUUGUGUGAGCUUCUGAAAUAUCGGAGCCCGAUGAAAUGGCGCCGUGAUCCGUGAGCUUGGAGAUUUCAAAGCGGUUGCGGCGAUGGUCGAGGUCGUUUACACUUGUUGGAGCCUUUGUUCAGUUGAAUUGCUCUUUUUCCUCUUCUUGGCUGCUGGGGUCCAUGAUGGAGAAUAUUGGAAAUUGUUCCCCGCUUUGUAAUUGAGGAUAUGAAACUAAUAAAAGGCUCAUGCGAGUUGUGAUUAGGGGAAAUAAUUGCGGUGUAAUGGAUCGAUGAGAGGUUUCCAAGUGUGCUUAAUCCUCCCACUAGAAGUGGAAUUAUGGAGUCCGAUGCCAAGAAGUUACCUCUUUAUAUAUCUGGUAUUCCAAGUGCUUGGAGUGUUUUCCUGGAGAAAGGAUUCCGACAUGACGACAGGAGAGCAACGUUCAUCAAGGGUGUUUUUCUGGACAUUUUUCAAACAAGUGCUGUCAACCCGAUACUUUCGCCGAUGGGACAGCUGUCUGAAUCUUGUGAUUGUGAGGCCUUAGAAACCAAUGUUUUGAACAAAAGAUUGACAGGAGACAAAGUCGUACUUCUGCUCAAGAACUUCGUGUAAUGAGCUCAUUUGAGGAGGAGAAUAGUAACCAAAUUU